rnacentral:lncRNA from 1 species
AAAUAUAAUUUAUGAUUUUAAAAGCGUUUUGAAAAUUUGAAAAUUUUUGAAAUACUUUUUUAGAAAUGUUCGUAAUUAAAAAAUAAAAAUUAAAGAAAAUAGAAAACUUCAAAAAAGAAAGAAAUAGAAAAGAUAAUUGGGACUCACUCCUGAACCGAACUCACUUCGGGAUUGAACUCACUCCAGGGCGACGCAUUCGCGAAGGGAUAAUUAGAGAACACAUCUCAUUUUAAAAAAUAACAUUCUUCUUCAUUCAUUGAUUAAUUAUCGUCCAAUACAUAGAAUAUUUAAAGAGCUUUUCUAACAAUGAUAAGCUCAAAACAAAAUCCUAACAAUAAAAUCUCUACCAAAUUAACAACCUUCAUAAUAACUUCUAGAUAAAAUCCUAACAAUAAAAUCUAAAAAUAAAUACAGAUAAAACUAAAUUAGAGGAUAACUACAAAAUCCUCAUUUAACUAACUAAAAGAUAUGCUUAACUAAUCUAAUCUAAGUUUUUAAAAAUGAUGAACUAAAUCAGUUUAAUCCGAUCAACAUAGGUUCAAGUCUGUUCUGCAUCAUUCGCUUCUGCUGCGCAGGAUCUCGUCCUCGAGAUUAGUUGGAUUUAUAAGGAGAUAGAAAACAACCAAAUGUGUAGAAUAAAGUGAUGCAGCCCAAUGCAUGCAUGUCGAACAAUCGGUAUCAUCCGAGUUUCCGGCUUGGUCUUGAUGUAGGAAGAAUGAUUGAUAAGUUUAUGAGACUUCACAAGGUUUGAUAUCAAUGAGAAAGAUACUUCCGAUGCAAUCUGAAGCUCUACUAUAGUGGACUCAUAUUGCUGGGGCAAUAAGGGUAACUCGAUCUGUAAUCUUACCUCCUCAACACACUGAUUUACCUUAUCUUCAUGAAUCAACUCUGGAUUUUCUAAAUCUAACUCGGGCUCAGCCACAUCUGGAACUUGUUGGCAAUCGAAUGGUGUGGAUGAAACUGGAUCAGAAUUGUCGACUUCCAACUGUGCUAUAGGUCGUGUACUCUGUUGAGUAACUAGGGUUUCUAGUUUAACUUCUAGUUGAAUCCACCGAUACUCAUCUCUAACCUUACCCAUCCAUCGAAAAUCAUCUUCAGAAAUUUUAGCACCAUUUUCAAUAUCUUGUAACCUUCUUUCUUCUUCCUCCGAAAAUAUUAUGUUAAAAUCAAGAUGAGAUAUUUGCCUUUAUCUAUACUACCAUCUCAAGUCAUUUAGUAUUUCCAUCCGAAUAUCAUUUCUUUUUUUCUCAAAAUAUGACCUUUAGUCGUACAGCCAUUCAUCAAACUCUACUCCUGUCAUCUCACAUAUUUCUUUUAAAGACUCAAUAUGAAUUCCUUUUUUUCUACCAUACUUUUGAAAAACUUUUUUAAGACAUUCUUUUGUAUUCAUAAUAUUUUUUUUUUUUUUUCCUUUUACACACUCUCCAUUUUUUUUUUCUCCGCACUUUUUUUCUUCCACAAGCCCAAAACUUUUGACGAAAUAGAACAGUCAAAUAGCCUAAGCUCUGAUACCAAAUUGAUGCAGGACGAGAUAUAGGGUCCUACGUUUUUAGAAGACUCCAAAAUAUAAUUUAUGAUUUUAAAAGCGUUUUGAAAAUUUGAAAAUUUUUGAAAUACUUUUUUAGAAAUGUUCGUAAUUAAAAAAUAAAAAUUAAAGAAAAUAGAAAACUUCAAAAAAGAAAGAAAUAGAAAAGAUAAUUGGGACUCACUCCUGAACCGAAGUCACUUCGGGACUGGACUCACUCCAAGGCGACGCAUUCGUGAAGGAAUAAUUAGAGAACACAUCUCAUUUUAAAAAAUAACAUUUUUCUUCAUUCAUUGAUUAAUUAUCGUCCAAUACAUAGAAUAUUUAAAGAGCUUUUCUAACAAUGAUAAGCUCAAAACAAAAUCUUAACAAUAAAAUCUCUACCAAAUUAACAACCUUCAUAAUAACUUCCAGAUAAAAUCCUAACAAUAAAAUCUAAAAAUAAAUACAGAUAAAACUAAAUUAGAGGAUAACUACAAAAUCCUCAUUUAACUAACUAAAAGAUAUGCUUAACUAAUCUAAUCUAAGUUUUUAAAAAUGAUGAACUAAAUCAGUUUAAUCCAAUCAACAUAGGUUCAAGUCUGUUUUGCAUCAAAAUCAUUCAUUAACAAGUCAAAUCA